AUUGAACGCUGGCGGCAGGCCUAACACAUGCAAGUCGAGCGGAUGAAGGGAGCUUGCUCCUGGAUUCAGCGGCGGACGGGUGAGUAAUGCCUAGGAAUCUGCCUGGUAGUGGGGGAUAACGUCCGGAAACGGGCGCUAAUACCGCAUACGUCCUGAGGGAGAAAGUGGGGGAUCUUCGGACCUCACGCUAUCAGAUGAGCCUAGGUCGGAUUAGCUAGUUGGUGGGGUAAAGGCCUACCAAGGCGACGAUCCGUAACUGGUCUGAGAGGAUGAUCAGUCAACCUGGAAUUGGACACCGGCCCAAACCCCUAGGGGGGGCAGCAGUGGGGAAUAUUGGACAAGGGGCGAAAGCCUGAUCCAGCCAUGCCGGGUGGGUGAAGAAGGUCUUGGGUUUGUAAAGCAUUUUAAGUGGGGGGGAAGGGAAGUAAGUUAAUACCUUGCUGUUUUGACGUUCCCAAAAAAAAAAGCACCGGCUAACUUCGU
rnacentral:rRNA from 1 species